CAAAGUAUAGCUUAAC
rnacentral:tRNA from 1 species